rnacentral:rRNA from 1 species
AGGACGAACGCUGGCGGCGUGCUUAACACAUGCAAGUCGAGCGGAAAGGCCCUUCGGGGUACUCGAGCGGCGAACGGGUGAGUAACACGUGAGCAACCUGCCCCUGGCUCUGGGAUAGCCUCCGGAAACGGGGAUUAAUACCGGAUAUUCACUGCUCCCUGCAUGGGGGGGUGGUGGAAAGUUUUUCGGCUAGGGUGGGGCUCGCGGCCUAUCAGCUUGUUGGGGGGGUGACGGCCCACCAAGGCGACGACGGGUAG